GUGCUCGCUUCGGCAGCACAUACACUAAAGACUGGAACGACGCCGAGGAGAUCAGCGUGGUCCCUGCACAAGGAUGACGCGCAAAUCCGGAAGCGUUCCACAGAGCA